GGGUUGUGAGGUUAAGCGACUAAGCGUACACGGUGGAUGCCCUGGCAGUCAGAGGCGAUGAAGGACGUGCUAAUCUGCGAUAAGCGUCGGUAAGGUGAUAUGAACCGUUAUAACCGGCGAUUUCCGAAUGGGGAAACCCAGUGUGAUUCGUCACACUAUCAUUAACUGAAUCCAUAGGUUAAUGAGGCGAACCGGGGGAACUGAAACAUCUAAGUACCCCGAGGAAAAGAAAUCAACCGAGAUUCCCCCAGUAGCGGCGAGCGAACGGGGAGGAGCCCAGAGCCUGAAUCAGUGUGUGUGUUAGUGGAAGCGUCUGGAAAGGCGCGCGAUACAGGGUGACAGCCCCGUACACAAAAAUGCACAUGCUGUGAGCUCGAUGAGUAGGGCGGGACACGUGGUAUCCUGUCUGAAUAUGGGGGACCAUCCUCCAAGGCUAAAUACUCCUGACUGACCGAUAGUGAACCAGUACCGUGAGGGAAAGGCGAAAAGAACCCCGGCGAGGGGAGUGAAAAAGAACCUGAAACCGUGUACGUACAAGCAGUGGGAGCCUCUUAAUGGGGUGACUGCGUACCUUUUGUAUAAUGGGUCAGCGACUUAUAUUCUGUAGCAAGGUUAACCGAAUAGGGGAGCCGAAGGGAAACCGAGUCUUAACUGGGCGUUAAGUUGCAGGGUAUAGACCCGAAACCCGGUGAUCUAGCCAUGGGCAGGUUGAAGGUUGGGUAACACUAACUGGAGGACCGAACCGACUAAUGUUGAAAAAUUAGCGGAUGACUUGUGGCUGGGGGUGAAAGGCCAAUCAAACCGGGAGAUAGCUGGUUCUCCCCGAAAGCUAUUUAGGUAGCGCCUCGUGAAUUCAUCUCCGGGGGUAGAGCACUGUUUCGGCAAGGGGGUCAUCCCGACUUACCAACCCGAUGCAAACUGCGAAUACCGGAGAAUGUUAUCACGGGAGACACACGGCGGGUGCUAACGUCCGUCGUGAAGAGGGAAACAACCCAGACCGCCAGCUAAGGUCCCAAAGUCAUGGUUAAGUGGGAAACGAUGUGGGAAGGCCCAGACAGCCGGGAUGUUGGCUUAGAAGCAGCCAUCAUUUAAAGAAAGCGUAAUAGCUCACUGGUCGAGUCGGCCUGCGCGGAAGAUGUAACGGGGCUAAACCAUGCACCGAAGCUGCGGCAGCGACACUAUGUGUUGUUGGGUAGGGGAGCGUUCUGUAAGCCUGCGAAGGUGUACUGUGAGGUAUGCUGGAGGUAUCAGAAGUGCGAAUGCUGACAUAAGUAACGAUAAAGCGGGUGAAAAGCCCGCUCGCCGGAAGACCAAGGGUUCCUGUCCAACGUUAAUCGGGGCAGGGUGAGUCGACCCCUAAGGCGAGGCCGAAAGGCGUAGUCGAUGGGAAACAGGUUAAUAUUCCUGUACUUGGUGUUACUGCGAAGGGGGGACGGAGAAGGCUAUGUUGGCCGGGCGACGGUUGUCCCGGUUUAAGCGUGUAGGCUGGUUUUCUAGGCAAAUCCGGAAAAUCAAGGCUGAGGCGUGAUGACGAGGCACUACGGUGCUGAAGCAACAAAUGCCCUGCUUCCGGGAAAAGCCUCUAAGCAUCAGGUAACAUCAAAUCGUACCCCAAACCGACACAGGUGGUCAGGUAGAGAAUACCAAGGCGCUUGAGAGAACUCGGGUGAAGGAACUAGGCAAAAUGGUGCCGUAACUUCGGGAGAAGGCACGCUGAUAUGUAGGUGAAGUCCCUCGCGGAUGGAGCUGAAAUCAGUCGAAGAUACCAGCUGGCUGCAACUGUUUAUUAAAAACACAGCACUGUGCAAACACGAAAGUGGACGUAUACGGUGUGACGCCUGCCCGGUGCCGGAAGGUUAAUUGAUGGGGUUAGCGCAAGCGAAGCUCUUGAUCGAAGCCCCGGUAAACGGCGGCCGUAACUAUAACGGUCCUAAGGUAGCGAAAUUCCUUGUCGGGUAAGUUCCGACCUGCACGAAUGGCGUAAUGAUGGCCGGGCUGUCUCCACCCGAGACUCAGUGAAAUUGAACUCGCUGUGAAGAUGCAGUGUACCCGCGGCAAGACGGAAAGACCCCGUGAACCUUUACUAUAGCUUGACACUGAACAUUGAGCCUUGAUGUGUAGGAUAGGUGGGAGGCUUUGAAGUGUGGACGCCAGUCUGCAUGGAGCCGACCUUGAAAUACCACCCUUUAAUGUUUGAUGUUCUAACGUUGGCCCCUGAUCGGGGUUGCGGACAGUGUCUGGUGGGUAGUUUGACUGGGGCGGUCUCCUCCUAAAGAGUAACGGAGGAGCACGAAGGUUGGCUAAUCCUGGUCGGACAUCAGGAGGUUAGUGCAAUGGCAUAAGCCAGCUUGACUGCGAGCGUGACGGCGCGAGCAGGUGCGAAAGCAGGUCAUAGUGAUCCGGUGGUUCUGAAUGGAAGGGCCAUCGCUCAACGGAUAAAAGGUACUCCGGGGAUAACAGGCUGAUACCGCCCAAGAGUUCAUAUCGACGGCGGUGUUUGGCACCUCGAUGUCGGCUCAUCACAUCCUGGGGCUGAAGUAGGUCCCAAGGGUAUGGCUGUUCGCCAUUUAAAGUGGUACGCGAGCUGGGUUUAGAACGUCGUGAGACAGUUCGGUCCCUAUCUGCCGUGGGCGCUGGAGAACUGAGGGGGGCUGCUCCUAGUACGAGAGGACCGGAGUGGACGCAUCACUGGUGUUCGGGUUGUCAUGCCAAUGGCACUGCCCGGUAGCUAAAUGCGGAAGAGAUAAGUGCUGAAAGCAUCUAAGCACGAAACUUGCCCCGAGAUGAGUUCUCCCUGACUCCCUGAGAGUCCUGAAGGAACGUUGAAGACGACGACGUUGAUAGGCCGGGUGUGUAAGCGCAGCGAUGCGUUGAGCUAACCGGUACUAAUGAACCGUGAGGCUUAACCUUACAACGCCGAAGCUGUU
rnacentral:rRNA from 1 species